rnacentral:lncRNA from 1 species
UUAUUGUCUUCAGGUUGAUGGAGAGAAGCAAUAUCUUUAUUACUUUGAAAAACUGAUAAGGUAUCAGUUUCAAAAGUACAUACACAGCCCAAGGCAGAAAAAGACAAGGCGCAAAAACAUACAAUCAGGGAUUUUGACCGUAAAUCCCGAAAAUGGAUGAUCUUAGAUCAACAACCCAAAGAGGAGCAAUAUCUUCAGUGAAACCCCAAAUCUCACUGAUGAUCUUGACUUGGUGCAGGAUUUCUUCUUUGCUGACAAGUCCAGUUCGCCUGGGUGGAGUCACAUAGUUCAGCACCGGAGGACGAAUCCAUUGCAUUCCUUGGUCCUUUGACGCUCUAAUGAGUCGCUCAAACUUGCCCUGCUCAUCCCAGUUAUUCAUGAAGUAUCUCCAAGCUUCUCUAAUACGAUUGGUAUCCUCUUUUUUUAUGUUAGCAAAAAUCAAGGACCACUUUUUGAAAAUAUCUUUUACCUGAACCCACCGGUCACUCAAUUCUUU